rnacentral:rRNA from 1 species
UACGUAGGGGGCAAGCGUUGUCCGGAAUCAUUGGGCGUAAAGCGCGUGUAGGCGGCCAGAAAAGUCCGCUGUGAAAACUCGAGGCUCAACUUCGAGCUGUCGGUGGAAACUUUCUGGCUAGAGUCCGGAAGAGGAGAAUGGAAUUCCUGGUGUAGCGGUGAAAUGCGCAGAUAUCAGGAAGAACACCCGUGGCGAAGGCGGUUCUCUGGGACGGUACUGACGCUGAGACGCGAAAAGCGUGGGGAGCGAACAGG